rnacentral:sRNA from 1 species
UUUAACAUCAAACUCAGAUGUUGAACGUGAAGGAUAACGUUGCGUCAGCAACGGCCCGUAGGGCGAGGCGGAGCCGAGUCAUCCUGCACGACCCACCA